AUUGAACGCUGGCGGCAGGCUUAACACAUGCAAGUCGAGCGGGGUGAUGGUGCUUGCACUAUCACUUAGCGGCGGACGGGUGAGUAAUGCUUAGGAAUCUGCCUAUUAGUGGGGGACAACAUCUCGAAAGGGAUGCUAAUACCGCAUACGUCCUACGGGAGAAAGCAGGGGAUCACUUGUGACCUUGCGCUAAUAGAUGAGCCUAAGUCGGAUUAGCUAGUUGGUGGGGUAAAGGCCUACCAAGGCGACGAUCUGUAGCGGGUCUGAGAGGAUGAUCAGUCACACUGGAACUGAGACACGGUCCAGACUCCUACGGGAGGCAGCAGUGGGGAAUAUUGGACAAUGGGCGAAAGCCUGAUCCAGCCUUGCCGCGUGUGUGAAGAAGGUCUUCGGAUUGUAAAGCACUUUAAGUUGGGAGGAAGGGCAGUAAGUUAAUACCUUGCUGUUUUGACGUUACCGACAGAAUAAGCACCGGCUAACUCUGUGCCAGCAGCCGCGGUAA
rnacentral:rRNA from 1 species